UGGCUCAUUAAAUCAGUUAUGGUUCAUUGGAUCUUACCUUNNNNNUUGGAUAACUGUGGUAAUUCUAGAGCUAAUACAUGCACGCCAGCUCCGACCUGCGAAGGGAAGAGCGCUUUUAUUAGAUCAAAACCGAUCGGGCCUUCGGGCCCGUCCCACCUGUGGUGACUCUGAAUAACUUUUUGCCGAGCGCACGGCCUCCGUGCCGGCGCCGCAUCCUUCAAGUGUCUGCCUUAUCAGCUUUCGAUGGUAGGUUACGCGCCUACCAUGGCUACGACGGGUAACGGGGAAUCAGGGUUCGAUUCCGGAGAGGGAGCCUGAGAAACGGCUACCACAUCUAAGGAAGGCAGCAGGCACGCAAAUUACCCACUCCCGGCUCGGGGAGGUAGUGACGAAAAAUAACGAUGCGGGACUCAUCCGAGGCCUCGCAAUCGGAAUGAGUACACUUUAAAUCCUUUAACGAGGAUCUAUUGGAGGGCAAGUCUGGUGCCAGCAGCCGCGGUAAUUCCAGCUCCAAUAGCGUAUAUUAAAGUUGCUGCGGUUAAAAAGCUCGUAGUUGGAUCUCAGUGUCGGACCGACGGUCCGCCGCCCGGCGCGACUGUCGGCUUUCCGCACAGCCCGCCGGCUCGGUCGGGGUGCUCUUCGCCGAGUGUCCCGGGCGGCCGGCACGUUUACUU
rnacentral:rRNA from 2 species